ACGCUGGCGGUGCGCCUUAUGCAUGCAAGUCGAGCGAAGCUUUUCAGUAGUUUACUACAGAAAAUGACUGAGCGGCGAACGGGUGAGUAACGCGUGAGCAAUCUACCUUAGUUACUGGGAUAGCCCGAGGAAACUCGGAUUAAUACCGGAUAAUCUUAUUACAUCACAUGAUAUUUUAAGUAAAGGUCAGCCGAACUAAGAUGAGCUCGCGUUCUAUCAGCUUGUUGGUGGGGUAAAAGCCUACCAAGGCUACGACGGAUAGCUGGUCUGAGAGGACGAUCAGCCACACUGGGACUGAGACACGGCCCAGACUCCUACGGGAGGCUGCAGCAGGGAAUAUUGCGCAAUGAGCGAAAGCUUGACGCAGCGACACCGCGUGUGGGAUGACGGUUCUAGGAUUGUAAACCACUUUCAGGAGGGAAGAAAAUGACGGUACCUCCACAAGAAGCCCCGGCCAACUACGUGCCAGCAGCCGCGGUAAUACGUAGGGGGCGAGCGUUGUCCGGAUUUAUUGGGCGUAAAGAGCUCGUAGGCGGUUCAACAAGUCGGUCGUGAAAGUUCAGGGCUUAACCCUGAAAUGUCGAUCGAUACUGUUGUGACUAGGAUAUGGUAGAGGUGAGUGGAAUUCCGAGUGUAGCGGUGAAAUGCGUAGAUAUUCGGAGGAACACCAAUAGCGAAGGCAGCUCACUGGACCACUAUCGACGCUGAGGAGCGAAAGCUAGGGGAGCAAACAGGAUUAGAUACCCUGGUAGUCCUAGCUGUAAACGAUGGAUACUAGAUGUAGGAAUUGGAUUGACGAUUUCUGUAUCGUAGCUAACGCGUUAAGUA
rnacentral:rRNA from 1 species